UACGGAGGGUGCAAGCGUUGUUCGGAUUUAUUGGGCGUAAAGGGCGUGUAGGCGGUUCGUUAAGUCUGAUGUGAAAGCCCCGGGCUCAACCCGGGAAGUGCAUUGGAAACUGGCGAACUUGAGUACGGGAGAGGGCAGUGGAAUUCCUAGUGUAGGAGUGAAAUCCGUAGAUAUCGGGAGGAACACCAGUGGCGAAGGCGACUUCCUGGCCUGUUCUUGACGCUGAGGCGCGAAAGCUAGGGUAGCAAACGGG
rnacentral:rRNA from 1 species